CCAUUCUAGGGUUUCUUACUUUGAUCAUAUUUGCCUUUACUUUGCUUGCCUAGGGGUUUUAAACCAACCAAACAAAGAAACUACAAAGACCCUUUCUUUUUCCUCCUGAAAAUAGACUUGCAAAAUUAUAAAAAUGGAGAAAGAACCGAGAGAAAUGAGACCUUACUCGGAUAACUUCAGCUAGCAUUUACUUUUUAGGAAAGUGUGUCAAAACCCCAACAAGGGAUUAAGCAAUUCUGCAAGAAACUUGAGAUGGUGAUGGGAUGAAAUUUUCAAGACAUACCCAUCAUCAAAAUGGAGACCCUGCAAUAAUUGAUGAUUGCCAAACAUGCCUAAACUAAAUAUUAUCAGUGGGGGGUGGAGGGAAAAGAAAUUACAGAGAAAAUGAAAAAUGAAAUGGGAUUUCUCCUCUGGUUUUUGUUAUUCAAAUGUCUUUAUAUGUUUGUCGUCAUUUUGGAGAGAAAUCCAUUUAUAGAAAUAUGGUAUGAGCUAACUUUCGAACAGUGUCCCUCCUUCCAAGGAACUAAAGUAAAAGAAGAAGAAAAAUAAUCAUAUUCAGCGGCAAUAAGACCUGAA
rnacentral:misc_RNA from 1 species